CAAAGGCAUUUUCAAGGCUUUGGCCUUGAGAGGUUCUCCCACAACCAAGAAGAAAAAGAAAGGAGAGGAAAGAAGGAAAGAAAAGAGAGAAAGGAAGGAAGGUUUGGCUUGGAGAAACUAGAGAAAAAUUGAGAGGUAUUUCCUCCCACCCGCACACCAUUGUUGAAGUUUAAGGAGAGUUAGGUAAUUUAGCUUAAAUAUUUCAAGCAAAAGAAUACCUUAUGGGAGCCAAGCAAAACCAUGCAUGUUGGUGAAUCACAAGGAAUGUGAAAUUUUGCUAUCAAGGAGCUUGAGAUUCCUGGAUUUUAGUUCAAGUUGAAUUAUUGAGGAAAGAUAAGUAAUCGGUACAAGUGCAUCACUCAGCACAUUGAGAGUAGCUGCAACGUAAACAAUGGCAUCUCUUAGACUUCCACUCCGAGUCGUUCCGCUGCCAAGAGGUCGUGUUGCGUCAAGUAGUCAGACUUAUAAUGAUAAAUAGUUUGUGAAAAUGUAUUUGCUAAAACUUGAGGUUGUGUAAUGAUUAUAACUUAUUAUGGUGAAUAUAUU